UACGUAGGGUGCAAGCGUUGUCCGGAAUUAUUGGGCGUAAAGAGCUCGUAGGCGGUUCGUCGCGUCGGCUGUGAAAACCCGGAGCUCAACUCCGGGCCUGCAGUCGAUACGGGCGGACUUGAGUGUUGCAGGGGAGACUGGAAUUCCUGGUGUAGCGGUGAAAUGCGCAGAUAUCAGGAGGAACACCGGUGGCGAAGGCGGGUCUCUGGGCAACUACUGACGCUGAGGAGCGAAAGCAUGGGUAGCGAACAGG
rnacentral:rRNA from 1 species